rnacentral:lncRNA from 1 species
ACACAUGAGGGAGUGAGGAAAUGAGACACAUGGAAGGGAUGGGGGAAUGAGACACAUGGGGAGCUGGAGGACUGAGACACAUGGGGAGUGGGGGAAUGAGACACAUGUGGGGCUGGGGGAAUUAGGCAAAUGAGGUGGUGGGAGAAUGAGACACAUGGGGGCUGGGAUAAUUAGACACUUCUGAGGACUAGGGGAAUGAGACAUAUGGAAGGGAUGGGGGAAUUGUGACACAUGGGGGGCUGGGGGACUGAGACACAUGGGAAGUGGAGGAAUGAGGUACAUGUGGGGCUGAGGGAAUGAGACUCAUGGUGGGGAGAAAAUGAGACACAUGGAAUGGAGGGGCUGCAGGGAACAAAAAUAGACAUAGAGAAGCUGGGGGUGAAAGAGACAAGGUGCCGGGGGAAAGAGACACACAGAAGGACUGAGAAGUGGGGGAAGAGACACACAAAAGAGGCUGGAGAGAGAAUGAAAAACACAGAGGGGCUGGGGGUACAAAAGGACACAGAGAGGCUGAGGAGGGGAAGUAACAGACCGACAGGGGCUGGGUAAGGGGUAGAAAAGACAAGCAUGGCCUGAAGGUGCAACACACGGACAAAGAGAUACAGAGAGGCUGUGGAGAGAUAGAGGCAAGGUGCUGGGGGAAAGAGACAAAGAAGGGAUGGGAGGAAGAGAUACACAAAAGGGACUGAGGGGAGAAAGAGACAUGGGGAAAGAAGAAAUAAAUACACAAAAGGGGCUAGGGGGAAGAGGUACACAGAGAGGAUGGGGAAAGGGAGAAAGAAACACAAAGGGGCUGGAGGAUGGGAAGUGACACACAGAAAGGCUGACACCCAAAGGGUGUUUAGGGUAUGACAAAGAGACACAGAUAAGCUGUGGGGAGAAAGAGACAUGGUGCUGGGAGAAGUGACACACAGAGGGGGUGGGGGGGAAAGAGACAGAGGAGAUGAGGAAGAGGAGAAAGAGACACACAAAGGAGAUGGGAAAGAAGGAGACACACAAAAGGGUUGGGGUAGAAAGAAACACACAAAGAAUCUGGAGGAAGGAAGAAACACACAAAAGGGUUGAGUGGAGAAAAAGACGCACAAAGAGGCUGGGUGGAGAAAGAGACACACAAAGGGGCUGGGUGGAGAAAGAGACACACAAAGGGGCUGGAGUAAAAGAUACAUAAAUGGGCUGGAGGGGAGUAAGAGACACACAAAGGGACUGGAGGGAAGUAAAAGAAACACAAAAGGGGUGCUAGGGGAAAGAGACACACAGAGGGACUGUGAAGUGGGGGAAGAGACACACCAAAGGUGCUGGAGAGAGAAAGAGACACACAGAGGGGCUCGGGGUACAAAAGGACACAGAGAGGCUGAGGAAGGGGAAAAAGAGACAGCCAAGGGCUGGGUAAGGGUAGAAGAGACAAGUAUGGCCUGGGGGUGCGACACACCCAGAGGUUUUUCAGGGACAAAGAGACACAGAGAGGCUGUGGAGAGAUAGAGACAAGGUGCUGGGGGAAGUGACACACAGAGGGGCUGGGGGAAAAGAGACACAGAGGGGAUGGGAGGAAGAGAUACACAAAAUGGGCUGAGGGGAGAAAGAGGGAUGGGGAUGGGGAAAGGGAGAAAUAAAUACACAAAAGGGGCUAGGGGGAAGAGGUACACAGAGAGGAUGGGGAUAGCGAGAAAGAAACACAAAGGGGCUGGAGAAUGGGAAGUGACACACAGAAAGGCUGACACCCAAAGGGUG